rnacentral:rRNA from 1 species
GACGAACGCUGGCGGCGUGCUUAACACAUGCAAGUCGAACGGAAAGGCCCUGCUUUUGUGGGGUGCUCGAGUGGCGAACGGGUGAGUAACACGUGAGUAACCUGCCCUUGACUUUGGGAUAACUUCAGGAAACUGGGGCUAAUACCGGAUAGGAGCUCCUGCUGCAUGGUGGGGGUUGGAAAGUUUCGGCGGUUGGGGAUGGACUCGCGGCUUAUCAGCUUGUUGGUGGGGUAGUGGCUUACCAAGGCUUUGACGGGUAGCCGGCCUGAGAGGGUGACCGGCCACAUUGGGACUGAGGUACGGCCCAGACUCCUACGGGAGGCAGGAGUGGGGAAUAUUGCACAAUGGGCGGAGGCCGGAUGCAGCAACGCCGCGUGCGGGAUGACGGCCUUCGGGUUGUAAACCGCUUUCGCCUGUGACGGAGCGUGAGGGACGGUAAUGGGUAAAGAAGCACCGGCUAACUACGU